CCUACGGGAGGCAGCAGUGAGGAAUAUUGGUCAAUGGACGAGAGUCUGAACCAGCCAAGUAGCGUGAAGGAUGACUGCCCUAUGGGUUGUAAACUUCUUUUAUAUGGGAAUAAACUGUUCCACGUGUGGGAUUUUGUAUGUACCAUAUGCAUAAGGAUCGGCUAACUCCGUGCCAGCAGCCGCGGUAAUACGGAGGAUCCGAGCGUUAUCCGGAUUUAUUGGGUUUAACGGGAGCGUAGGUGGAUUGUUAAGUCAGUUGUGAAAGUUUGCGGCUCAAACGUAAAAUUGCAGUUGAAACUGGCAGUCUUGAGUACAGUAGAGGUGGGCGGAAUGCGUGGUGUAGCGGUGAAAUGCUUAGAGAUCACGAAGAACUCCGAUUGCGAAGGCAGUUCACUGGACUGCAACUGACACUGAGGCUCGAAAGUGUGGGUAUCAAACAGGAUUAGAUACCCGUGUAGUC
rnacentral:rRNA from 1 species